rnacentral:rRNA from 1 species
GACGAACGCUGGCGGCGUGCUUAACACAUGCAAGUCGAACGGAAAGGCCCUGCUUGCAGGGUGCUCGAGUGGCGAACGGGUGAGUAACACGUGGGUGAUCUGCCCCUUACUUUGGGAUAAGCCUGGGAAACUGGGUCUAAUACUGGAUAGGACCAUGCUGUAGGUGGUGUGGUGGAAAGAUUAGUUUCGGUAAGGGAUGAGCUCGCGGCCUAUCAGCUUGUUGGUGGGGUAAUGGCCUACCAAGGCGUCGACGGGUAGCCGGCCUGAGAGGGUGGACGGCCACAUUGGGACUGAUAUACGGCCCAGACUCCUACGGGAGGCAGCAGUGGGGAAUAUUGCACAAUGGGCGCAAGCCUGAUGCAGCGACGCCGCGUGGGGGAUGACGGCCUUCGGGUUGUAAACUCCUUUCAGCCAUGACGAAGCCCUUGUGGUGACGGUAGUGGUAGAAGAAGCACCGGCUAACUACGUG